UACGUAGGGACCAAGCGUUGUUCGGAUUUACUGGGCGUAAAGGGCGCGUAGGCGGCGCGGUAAGUCACUUGUGAAAUCUCUAAGCUUAACUCAGAACGGCCAAGUGAUACUGCAGUGCUAGAGUGUGGAAGGGGCAAUCGGAAUUCUUGGUGUAGCGGUGAAAUGCGUAGAUAUCAAGAGGAACACCUGAGGUGAAGACGGGUUGCUGGGCCAACACUGACGCUGAGGCGCGAAAGCCAGGGGAGCAAACGGG
rnacentral:rRNA from 1 species